rnacentral:misc_RNA from 1 species
CCCGAGGCGGCGGCCCCACGUGGCCGGCGGCUGCGCCGCCGGGUCGAGCCCCACGAAGCUGCGGUACGCGCUGCAGAACUGCGGGGACACCCGGAUGCUGUAGGACGUGGACGAGCCCCCCGCCACGAAGGUGCAGCAGAGCGGCAGCGGCGCGCAAGCCGCCGCCGUGGACCCCGUGGCGUUGGCGUAGACGUGGCAGAGCGAGUUGGAGGAGCAGUUGAGCGGCGACAGCAGCAGCGCGCUGGUGCAGUUGAGCAGCAUGAUGGUGUUGGACGAGCUCACGUUGAACGGCAGCGACGCGUUCAGCUGCACCCCGCCGCCGCGCCCCUCCGACACGCACCUGCUGCCCUGCGCCACCAACGGCGCCGGCGCGACCACCAGCCGCUGCGUCGCGGCCGAGAUGGACGUGAUCCGGUACGACGUGCCGUUCAGCGCAUCGAACAUGAGCGUCGGCGACGACGUCGACGAGUUGGUGGCGGCGGCGCACCGGACCUUGUACGCCGGGUCGCCGCAGCCGUCGCCUGUGCUGAGCGGGUACGGCACGGCCGUCGACCCGCACGGCGGGCACACCCGCGCAUGGCUCGCCGGCAGCACCAGCAGCAGCGCGAGGAGAGCGAUACCCAUCUCGGAGACGGAGUGGAGGACCCAAAUGCUUACCUUGUCUCCUCGCGCUUGUCGUAUG